GACGAACGCUGGCGGCGUGCUUAACACAUGCAAGUCGAACGGAAAGGCCCUGCUUUUGUGGGGUGCUCGAGUGGCGAACGGGUGAGUAACACGUGAGUAACCUGCCCUUGACUUUGGGAUAACUUCAGGCAACUGGGGCUAAUACCGGAUAGGAGCUCCUGCUGCAUGGUGGGGGUUGGAAAGUUUCGGCGGUUGGGGAUGGACUCGCGGCUUAUCAGCUUGUUGGUGGGGUAGUGGCUUACCAAGGCUUUGACGGGUAGCCGGCCUGAGAGGGUGACCGGCCACAUGGGGACUGAGAGACGGCCCAGACUCCUACGGGAGGCAGCAGUGGGGAAUAUUGCACAAUGGGCGGAAGCCUGAUGCAGCAACGCCGCGUGCGGGAUGACGGCCUUCGGGUUGUAAACCGCUUUCGCCUGUGACGAAGCGUGAGUGACGGUAAUGGGUAAAGAAGCACCGGCUAACUACGUG
rnacentral:rRNA from 1 species